GAGCUUGCUCCACCGGAAAAAGAAGAGUGGCGAACGGGUGAGUAACACGUGGGUAACCUGCCCAUCAGAAGGGGAUAACACUUGGAAACAGGUGCUAAUACCGUAUAACAAUCGAAACCGCAUGGUUUUGAUUUGAAAGGCGCUUUCGGGUGUCGCUGAUGGAUGGACCCGCGGUGCAUUAGCUAGUUGGUGAGGUAACGGCUCACCAAGGCCACGAUGCAUAGCCGACCUGAGAGGGUGAUCGGCCACAUUGGGACUGAGACACGGCCCAAACUCCUACGGGAGGCAGCAGUAGGGAAUCUUCGGCAAUGGACGAAAGUCUGACCGAGCAACGCCGCGUGAGUGAAGAAGGUUUUCGGAUCGUAAAACUCUGUUGUUAGAGAAGAACAAGGAUGAGAGUAACUGUUCAUCCCUUGACGGUAUCUAACCAGAAAGCCACGGCUAACUACGUGCCAGCAGCCGCGGUAAUACGUAGGUGGCAAGCGUUGUCCGGAUUUAUUGGGCGUAAAGCGAGCGCAGGCGGUUUCUUAAGUCUGAUGUGAAAGCCCCCGGCUCAACCGGGGAGGGUCAUUGGAAACUGGGAGACUUGAGUGCAGAAGAGGAGAGUGGAAUUCCAUGUGUAGCGGUGAAAUGCGUAGAUAUAUGGAGGAACACCAGUGGCGAAGGCGGCUCUCUGGUCUGUAACUGACGCUGAGGCUCGAAAGCGUGGGGAGCAAACAGGAUUAGAUACCCUGGUAGUCCACGCCGUAAACGAUGAGUGCUAAGUGUUGGAGGGUUUCCGCCCUUCAGUGCUGCAGCUAACGCAUUAAGCACUCCGCCUGGAGAGUACGACCGCAAGGUUGAAACUCAAA
rnacentral:rRNA from 1 species